GUACACGCUGUGACUAGCAUAUCAAUAAGCGGAGGAAAAGAAACUAACAAGGAUUCCCUCAGUAACGGCGAGUGAAGCGGGAAGAGCUCAAAUUUGAAAUCUUGAAAGGUCACCUUUCACGAAUUGUAGUUUAAAGAAGUGUUUUCUGUUACGAUCGUAAUAUAAGUUCUUUGGAAUAGGACAUCACAGAGGGUGAGAAUCCCGUAUGAUUGACCGAUUAUUGUCAGCUUUGUGAUACACUUUCAAAGAGUCGGAUUGUUUGGGAAUGCAGUCCAAAAUGGGAUGGUAAAUUUCUAUCUAAGGCUAAAUAUUGGCGAGAGACCGAUAGCGAACAAGUACCGUGAGGGAAAGAUGAAAAGAACUUUGAAAAGAGAGUUAAACAGUACGUGAAAUUGUCAAAAGGGAAGCGUUUAACACCAGUGUUGUUUUCUGAAAAUCAACCUCUGUUAGCUUUAUGCAUGUUUGUUUAGACCUAAUCAGCUAUCUUGCAUGUUCUAUUGUUUGCAGUGGUGCACUUUUCAGUUUACAGGUCAACAUCAGUUUUUUUUACCGUAAAAAAGUUAAAGAAAGGUAGCUCAUGGCUCCGGUCGUGAGUGUUAUAGUCUUUUUCCUAUGCGGUAGGAGAGACUGAGGUCUGCAGUGUAGGCUAUUUGGCUAGAUACUCAGGUGCUAUGUGAUACCAUUUCAUAAACAACUUGUUGAUUAUGUUUUGUCUAUUGCAUACUCGCUUGUACUAUCAUACCUACGCUUAGGAUGUUGAGUAGCGACAUACGCAC
rnacentral:rRNA from 1 species